rnacentral:lncRNA from 1 species
GUUGGUUUCCUAGUGUGAUGAUGGGGAAGAGUCAGAAAACGGAUAUGUCCUAAGCUUGUUGGUCAAGAAUCCAGACCUUGCCUUUUGAUUAUCUCUGUGAUUUUUACAAGUCUCAUAACCCCUCUUGGAGUAGGGUUUCACAUCCAUAUAGUGGGUUUAAUAUGCAGUAACCUGACUAAAUUAAGUGCAUGUUCAUGGGGCCCGUCCUGUGGUAUCUGCCUGAACGGCUGAGGGAGGAGAUUCAGUGAGAAGAAGGCAUGGCCUGGGUUAGGAAGAUGGUGCUGCUCCCCCAGGGCAUGAGAACUACCUCCAUCAUUGUUUCUUCUGCAGCUGAAUAGGCUGGCAGGCAGCCUGAAAUGGGGACCUGCUCAGAAGACCCCCACCCCUGCUGGGCAUCCCGGCUCCUCGGACUCAUCAGUCUCUUUCUCAGCAUCUACAGCAGUGGGACCAAUAGUGAUGGAGGUCCUGGUCCUGGAGUUCAGGAUUCUGGAGCUCCUGAUCCUCUGCAGGGGAUCCGAGGAGGUUCUGUGCUGUUUCCUUUGCCCAAGAAGCAAGACGCUGAGCUGGAGGAGGUCACGUGGGGCUUUGGUCCUGGGUCAGAGUACAGAGUCCUGCUGCGAGUCCGACCUGGGAAAGCUCCAAUAUGGGUGAGCCUCCAGGACGGGUACCAGCAGAGGGUCCAUGUGCCCAACAUGACGUCCCUGAAGAUUGAGAACCUGACCUCCGAGGACAGUGGGCUGUACCGGGCUCGAGGCAUCUUCACUGAAGGAGUAGAAUUUACCCAUGUUUUCCACCUCACUGUCUAUGAGCCUAUACCCAGUCCUGAGAUUCUGGCUGGGCCACGAUCCAUCACACCAGGCUGGUGCAAUGUCACCCUGGAGUGUGGGCCCAGAGGAGCCACAAAGGACCUGAAUGUGACCUGGAAGAGGGAGUACAUCCCUGAGGAGCUGGAGCAGACAGGGACACUGGGACCUGCCUCAAACUCCCACACCCUGGCUGUGAGGCUGCCCCUGAGUCAGCCCUACUCCAGUAUCACCUGCGUGGUCAGCAACCAGAUGGACCAGAAAACUGCUACCGUAGGUCUUGGGGAAGUCUGUGCCCAUGGUGAGUGCAACCUACCAGAGGGGAGGGCACUUUUAGAGCUCAGAUAG